UUCAGGAUAACAUGUAAUUAUUAGGUACAUGUAAUAUAUAUAUGAUGUUCAGGAUUUUAACCCAAACUUUCAAAUUAAAAAAUAAUUUUAAAUUGAUCAUUGCAGCACUUGCAAGAUUUUCCUAAUGAAGAUUCUCAGGAUUACAGAUCUUCUAGCAAGGAAACCACACAGAUAGAGAUGACCAGAGCAGAGGACAUACACCCCCCCCCCCCCCAAAAAAAAAGAAAACAAUAUACAGUGGACUGGAAGUAAAUUUUACAUGAAAAAUACAAAGUAGGAAAAAUAACAGAAAGAAAAGAUGAUCCAGUAAAAGUUGUCACUGGUGCAAGAUGGACAUAGAGAUGGUUUUCUAAUGGUCAUUACUCAUUACUAAAAUCCACAGCAAAUCAAUACUGCAAGGCUGAGCUACUUUUCAAACUUACACAAAAGGACAUAAAGAAAUGUGAAUUCGAGGAAACCAAGCUUACAUCAAAUGAGAGAAUAUGAAGGAACAAAUUUUAGCAAAAUUUUUUUUUAAGCAGGGCAUCUGUUUUCCUUAGAGAAUAUGUGUAUUCUAAAUUGAUUUCUUGUAUUUUCAAAAAAUGUCACUGUUUAAGUGAAGCAUACAUUCCAAUUUAUGUCUUGUUUAUUUUUUUCUAGAAAAGCAGUUUUAUGCAAAGAAGCAGUUUCUUCCCUUUUUAUAUACACUCUCUGCAGGAGAGGUGGUAUACUGAUUUAUUAUAUACCCCCACAUGGGCUCACAAAUUUAGAGUUUUAUAUUGGCAGGCUUCACACAGUAUGUUAUGGAUGAUUAGAAUAUAUAUGAAUACAUUUUAACAAAACUGAGAAUAAGAUUAAUUGUGAAACACUGAUUCCCCCAUACAUUGCAGCUUAUGUCAAGACUCCCACGAGGUAUCCCAAGAAAGGUCUUGCCACAAGUAAAACACCUGUGAAAUAUGAAAAUCUAGUCCAACUUCAAAAGUUGUGGUUCUUAGGUUAAAGUUUUUUUAAGUCGGUCAAUGUCUAAGGUCAAAGUCAAAUGGUUAAAAAUAUUUAUACCCAUUAAAAGAACAUAGCAUACAUGUAACUGAUCAUCUGAAUAUGCUGAUAAGCAAUGUGGUAAUAAAAAUUAAUUCCACAAUAUUUAGCAUAUAAGGUCAUUUAAACAAAUUUGGCUGCCUUCCCCCAACAGACUAACUAAAAUUCAAAACUUUUUUUACAUUGCAAGACAGGAUGGUUUUCUUUUUAUCCAUCUUAUCUCGUCAACAAAUAUUAUGAAAUUUUCUGGGAAAAAGAUUUUACAACCUACCUAACGAGGCGACUUAAUAAUUUUACCCUGAGCUGGGAGAGGGCAAACAAACAUUAUAAUCAAGAUGGUCUUGCCAACUUGUUUUGACAUUAUAUUGUCUGACCUACUUUCAUAUUUUCAUAAAAUACUUUCAUAUCAU